rnacentral:tRNA from 1 species
GGGCUUGUGGUUUAGUGGUAUAAUUUUCCCUUAGCAAAAGAAAGGUCCAGGGUUCGAUUCCCUGCAAGUCCA